UUGCUUCGGCGGUACAUAUACUAAAAUUGGAACGAUACAAAGAAGAUUAGCAUGACCCCUACGCAAGGAUGACAAACACACACACACACACACACACACACACA